rnacentral:rRNA from 1 species
GCUUAAGUAAUCCACCUGGGGAGUACGACCGCAAGGUUGAACUCAAAGGAAUUGGCGGGGGCCGCACAAGCGAGGAGCAUGUGGUUUAAUUCGAUGAUACGCGAGGAACCUUACCUGGGCUAGAAUGCUGUCUGACCGUGGGAAAAGCACAUUUCGUAUCAAUACGCAGAUUGUAAGCUGCUGACAUGGCGUCGUCUCCUCGUGCCGUGAGUUGUUGUGUUACGUCCAGCGACGAGCGCAACCCCUAUCAUUAGUUGCCAAGAGAUGAAGCUGGUAACUCUAGUGAAACUGCUGCCGCAGGAGAGGAGGAAGGAGGGAUGACGGAAAUCAUCAUCUUCAUUAUGGGG